AUUCCAGAAGUGCAUGAUGGGACAAACGAGAGAAAACCACAAGAUUCUUGGCUGCCCUGAAUGCUGAGAAUCUGGAAUGGCUUUGGUGAAUUACAAUAGGAGUUCUACUCAAUAAACCCCAAACCCUAUGGAUAUUAAAAACAUAAAAACAAGCAAACUGAAAAAAAAAAAAAAACCAAAAGCAACCUGCUGGUGAGAGUUGCAUUUUAGCUUCGUUAAUACACAAAUGGGAAGAUGAGGAGGGAAAAUACCUAAAUCCUUGGUAGCUGAGGCCUCUGACUUGGACACCUUUUUAGUCUUCUGAAAGUUUUUGCCUUCAUUCCAGCCUUCAGUUAGUAAGGGACCUCGUAGAUGGGAACAUAUUUAAAAUAUGCAGAGGUUUUUCUGGGUUUCUCCUUCCCUGGGCCUAUUAACACCUGUUCAGCAGCUUUCCCUUUCCUCCAUCAGCACGUAAGUUACCUUUUGCCUUCAAACUGUCUGGAAUUCAAAUGACUUUCAACUACCUGCACUCUCAAAGCACUUGUUAUUUAGAAACAAUUCUCUUCCCACUAGGGAGAAAAAAGGGAGACCAAGGGAGACACAACACAUCUCUCUUCCAAAAGGCCAGGCCAGAUCACUGAUAAAAGCAGCGUUUUUCCUGACAAUUACGUGGAAUUUAAGAUGUGCCUACUUCCCUUUUGCCUUCUGCCGUGACUGAAAGUUUCCUGAGGCCUUCUCAGAAGCCAUCAUGCUUCCUGUACAGCCUGCAGAACCACCACCCCCCAUUAUCACAAGGGUCCUGACAAGUGACAGAGGGAGAAGCGUCACUGUCAUGGUCAGAAGGAGAUUUGAAGGUGCUCCGCUGCUGUCUUUAAAGAAAUGGAAAAGGCCAUGAGCCAAGGAAUGUGAGCUGUCUCUGGAAACUGGAAAAGCAAAGAAAGAAAUUAUUUCCUAGAGGCUGCAGUUGGAACAUACCCUACCAACACCUUGAUUUUUAAACCACAGAGGCCCAGUUUUGACUUCUGAUCUCCAGAACUGUAGGAUAAUAAAUUUGUGUUGUUAUAAGCCUCUAAGUUUAUG
rnacentral:lncRNA from 13 species